rnacentral:rRNA from 1 species
UCUGGAGACAGGUGCUGCAUGGCUGUCGUCAGCUCGUGUCGUGAGAUGUUGGGUUAAGUCCCGCAACGAGCGCAACCCUUGCCUUUAGUUGCCGGCAGUUCGGCUGGGCACUCUAAAGGGACUGCCGGUGUUAAACCGGAGGAAGGUGGGGAUGACGUCAAGUCCUCAUGGCCUUUAUGACCAGGGCUACACACGUACUACAAUGGCCGAUACAAAGGGCAGCGACACUGCGAGGUGAAGCCAAUCCCGUAAAAUCGGUCUCAGUCCGGAUUGGAGUCUGCAACUCGACUCCAUGAAGUUGGAAUCGCUAGUAAUCGUGGAUCAGCAUGCCACGGUGAAUACGUUCCCGGGCCUU